rnacentral:rRNA from 1 species
AUUGAACGCUGGCGGCAGGCCUAACACAUGCAAGUCGAGCGGUAGCACAGAGAGCUUGCUCUCGGGUGACGAGCGGCGGACGGGUGAGUAAUGUCUGGGAAACUGCCUGAUGGAGGGGGAUAACUACUGGAAACGGUAGCUAAUACCGCAUAACGUCGCAAGACCAAAGUGGGGGACCUUCGGGCCUCAUGCCAUCAGAUGUGCCCAGAUGGGAUUAGCUAGUAGGUGGGGUAAUGGCUCACCUAGGCGACGAUCCCUAGCUGGUCUGAGAGGAUGACCAGCCACACUGGAACUGAGACACGGUCCAGACUCCUACGGGAGGCAGCAGUGGGGAAUAUUGCACAAUGGGCGCAAGCCUGAUGCAGCCAUGCCGCGUGUGUGAAGAAGGCCUUCGGGUUGUAAAGCACUUUCAGCGGGGAGGAAGGCGUUAAGGUUAAUAACCUUGGCGAUUGACGUUACCCGCAGAAGAAGCACCGGCUAACUCCGUGCCAGCAGCCGCGGUAAUACGGAGGGUGCAAGCGUUAAUCGGAAUUACUGGGCGUAAAGCGCACGCAGGCGGUCUGUCAAGUCGGAUGUGAAAUCCCCGGGCUCAACCUGGGAACUGCAUUCGAAACUGGCAGGCUAGAGUCUUGUAGAGGGGGGUAGAAUUCCAGGUGUAGCGGUGAAAUGCGUAGAGAUCUGGAGGAAUACCGGUGGCGAAGGCGGCCCCCUGGACAAAGACUGACGCUCAGGUGCGAAAGCGUGGGGAGCAAACAGGAUUAGAUACCCUGGUAGUCCACGCCGUAAACGAUGUCGAUUUGGAGGUUGUGCCCUUGAGGCGUGGCUUCCGGAGCUAACGCGUUAAAUCGACCGCCUGGGGAGUACGGCCGCAAGGUUAAAACUCAAAUGAAUUGACGGGGGCCCGCACAAGCGGUGGAGCAUGUGGUUUAAUUCGAUGCAACGCGAAGAACCUUACCUGGUCUUGACAUCCACAGAACUUUCCAGAGAUGGAUUGGUGCCUUCGGGAACUGUGAGACAGGUGCUGCAUGGCUGUCGUCAGCUCGUGUUGUGAAAUGUUGGGUUAAGUCCCGCAACGAGCGCAACCCUUAUCCUUUGUUGCCAGCGGUUAGGCCGGGAACUCAAAGGAGACUGUCAGUGAUAAACUGGAGGAAGGUGGGGAUGACGUCAAGUCAUCAUGGCCCUUACGACCAGGGCUACACACGUGCUACAAUGGCAUAUACAAAGAGAAGCGACCUCGCGAGAGCAAGCGGACCUCAUAAAGUAUGUCGUAGUCCGGAUUGGAGUCUGCAACUCGACUCCAUGAAGUCGGAAUCGCUAGUAAUCGUAGAUCAGAAUGCUACGGUGAAUACGUUCCCGGGCCUUGUACACACCGCCCGUCACACCAUGGGAGUGGGUUGCAAAAGAAGUAGGUAGCUUAACCUUCGGGAGGGCGCUUACCACUUUGUGAUUCAUGACUGGGGUGA